UCGGCGGCGCAGGCGGCGGCAGAGCGCGGGGCGCCAGUGGCGAGUCCCGCUGCCGCUGCACCAUGCCCGAGCCCACCCCCGGGCAGCCGCCGCGCCCUGCCGGGGCCCCGGGAGGGGAGGAUGCCAGACACCCGGGAGAGACCAGGGCAGCGGUGGCGGCGUGAUGGUGGUGACAACCUCUGCCCGCAGCGGCGGCGGGGACCGCGCUCCGUCCCGGCAGCGGGGCUGCGGGCUCGCGCGGGCUGGUGCCGCGGCAUUGCUGGCCGGGGCGAGCUGCUUGUGCUACGGCAACUCCCUGCGGGGCGAGUUCGUGCACGACGACGUGUGGGCGAUUGUGAACAACCCCGACUUGCGUCCCGACGCCCCGCUCCACUGGGGCAUCUUCGCCAACGACUUCUGGGGCAAGGGCAUGGCCGAGAACACCAGCCACAAGUCCUACCGGCCGCUCUGCGUCCUCACCUUCAAGCUAAACAUGUUUUUGACUGGCAUGGACCCAUUCUAUUUUCAUGCAGUAAAUAUAAUUUUACACUGCCUCGUGACUCUUGUGCUGAUGUACACCUGUGACAAAGCUGUCUUCAAGAAUAGUGGACUUGCUUUUGUUACGGCAUUGCUUUUUGCCGUACAUCCUAUUCACACUGAGGCUGUGGCUGGAAUUGUUGGCAGAGCUGAUGUGUUAGCCUGUCUGCUGUUUCUGUUGGCCUUUCUCUCCUACAAUAGGAGUUUGGAUCAGUGUUGUGUUGGGGAAUGUUUCCCUCCCACGGCUUCUCCUUUCUUCUUGCUGCUCAGCUUGUUUCUGGGGACCUGUGCGAUGCUGGUGAAGGAGACAGGCAUCACGGUGUUUGGAGUGUGCUUGGUUUAUGAUCUCUUUUCCCUAUCCCACAAGCAAGAUAAAUCGAGCAACGGGAUCAUCCAUCAGCGCAGCCCACAGCAGCCUGGGAACCCUCAGCCCUCCCCGCUGCCAGCCCACCCUCACCGGGAGAACGGGAAACAGCAGCGAUUCCCUCAUAAAGGAGCUUGGGCUGCCUGCCACUCCCCAUUGCCACCAGAACCCAGGAGUGGAUUCCCCGUGUCUCCACGAGCUGUGUGGACCAUGAUGAGAUAUCUGACAACAAGUAGCAAUAGAAACUUCCUGCUUACCAUGAGGCCUUUUUUAAAAAGGGCUGUUUUGGUCAUCAGUUAUGUCCUAGUAGUUUUGUACUUCCGUCUGUGGAUAAUGGGAGGUUCCAUGCCGCUCUUUUCCGAGCAGGAUAAUCCAGCUUCAUUUUCGCCUUACAUUCUUACAAGAUUCCUUACCUAUUCCUACCUCUUGGCCUUCAACGUGUGGCUUCUGCUUGCACCCAUUACUCUGUGCUACGACUGGCAGGUCGGCAGUAUUCCUCUGGUAGAGACCAUAUGGGACAUGCGGAACUUGGCCACCAUCCUUCUGGCAGUUGUGAUGACCUUAUUGAGUCUACAUUGCUUAGCAGCCUUCAAGAGACUGGAGCACAAGGAAGUUUUAGUGGGCUUGUUGUUCCUGGUUUUCCCGUUCAUUCCCGCCAGCAAUCUCUUCUUCAGGGUGGGUUUUGUGGUGGCCGAGAGAGUCCUUUACAUGCCUAGCAUGGGCUACUGCAUCCUUUUUGUACAUGGAUUGAGCAAGCUCUGCACUUGGCUGAAUCGAUGUGGGGCCACCACCCUCAUUGUGUCCACUGUGUUGCUGCUGCUGCUUUUCUCAUGGAAAACUGUGAAACAGAAUGAAAUCUGGCUGUCAAGAGAGUCCCUAUUCAGGUCUGGAGUUCAAACUCUACCCCACAAUGCCAAGGCCCACUACAACUAUGCCAAUUUCCUGAAGGACGGAGGCCGGGACCGAGAAGCCAUCUCCCACUACAGAGCAGCCCUCGAGUUGUAUCCACACCAUGCAAGUGCCCUAAACAACCUUGGAACACUGACGAGAGACACAGCAGAAGCAAAGAUGUACUAUCAGAGGGCUCUGCAGCUAAAUCCCCAGCACAACCGGGCUCUUUUCAAUCUCGGAAAUCUCCUUAAAACCCAGGAGAGAAAAGAAGAAGCCAUCGUCUUACUGAAGGAUUCCAUUAAGUACGGUCCAGAGUUUGCAGAUGCUUACUCAAGCUUAGCUUCCUUAUUGGCUGAACAGGAGAGAUUUAAGGAAGCUGAGGAAAUAUAUCAGGCUGGAAUAAAGAACUGUCCAGAGAGUUCAGACUUGCACAACAACUAUGGGGUUUUCUUAGUUGAUACAGGCUCUCCAGAGAAGGCAGUGGCCCAUUACCAACAGGCCAUCAGACUUAGCCCAAGUCAUCAUGUGGCCAUGGUGAACCUGGGGAGACUCUACAGGUCACUGGGAGAGAACAGUGUGGCUGAAGAAUGGUACAAACGCGCACUGCAGGUGGCACGCAACGCUGAGAUACUGUCGCCUCUGGGAGCUCUGUACUACAACACUGGCCGCUAUGAAGAGGCUUUGCAGGUUUACCGGGAAGCGGCUGCACUUCAGCCUUCUCAGAGAGAACUCCGCCUGGCACUGGCUCAGGUUUUGGCUGUGAUGGGUCAGACAAAAGAAGCUGAAAAAAUGACCAAUCACAUUGUGUUGGAAGAGACGGGAUGCCUUGAAUGCUAUCGCCUUUUGUCAGCGAUCUACAGCAAGCUGGAGCUCCACAACAAGGCACUUGAUGCUAUAGACAAGGCCCUCCAGCUGAAACCAAAGGACCCUAAAGUCAUAUCUGAACUUUUUUUCACAAAAGGAAACCAACUAAGGGAGCAGAACCUCCUCGACAAAGCUUUUGAGAGCUAUAAAGCAGCUGUGGAACUAAAUCCAGAUCAAGCACAGGCCUGGAUGAACAUGGGUGGAAUCCAACACAUAAAAGGAAACUAUGUGUCUGCAAGAGCUUAUUAUGAGAGAGCCUUACAGCUGGUUCCAGACAGCAAAUUACUGAAGGAAAACUUUGCCAAAUUGGAUCGCCUAGAAAAACGAUUACGAGAAGUUAGAGAAAAGGAUCAAACGUAGCUGCGUUUUGACCCAGUCUUUUGGGACAAAGUUGGUGCCUCUGGAAGAGGAAAAAGUGAUGGAAGCCUUUGCUUUCACAUCAGCAGGGACGUAACUAAUGCAGCUUUCCUCUCCCUUGAGUUCAAGGUGGCACAUUUUAGGAUACCUGCUAAUAACCCUGUGCUGAGACUUGCAUUUCCAUGAAAGAAGAUGAAAAAGAGCAAGCAAGGCCAAAGAAGUCUGAGAGGGAAGGAAAACAACAGCUACACAUUUUAUAGAUUUUUAUUUGGUUUAACUCCAAGUUUCCCUUCAUAUGUUUUUCUGUUUUUGCAACCUGGAGAUCUAAUUUCAUUUUUUUAGUUUAGUCUUUUAAGUCCCAGAAAUAUAGAAGCUGGAAAUGCUAUAAAGAUACCCCAGAUUGAGGAGCUGCAUUCAGCUGAAAGCUGAGAUCUGUUCCCCUGCCCAAAAUGGCUCUCAACCCCAGCUGCACUGAAGAACCACCUGGGGGUCUUUAAGAAUGCCCUGAUGCCCUGGCUCUCAGGUGAUUCUACUAUAGCCUAGAGCUCCACUCUGCGACUGACAACUUUAAAGGGAGUGUAGGACUUUUACAAAAAAAGAGGUUUAUAAUCUUUUGUAAUUUUCACUUUUUAAUCUAGACAAAAAUGAGCCAAAGAAUUCUAAAGGAUCAUUUAUGGCACAGAUGGUUAUUUGAGACUAUCCUUCUAAGAUUGAUGAACAAGUGGUUGGAUGGGGUGGUUUUGUAAUUGUGGCAGUUGAAUUACAAUUUGGCUUCAUAAUUACACAAUUGUUGGUUCUCAGGUGGAGAGGAAUUGUCUUGCCAUUUUCAUGAACCAGUCAAUGUGCCAGAAUAUAAAAUUCAUAUUUUUAUGGCUCACAGAAUAUGUUCUUGGCAUGGUUUAUUCCUAGAGCUGCCCCACACACACACACACACACAUACCAGUUUUUGUUAUUUAAUUGCACUUGUUAGAAUCUGUUUAAAACCAACAAAAAAAUCUGCUUUGAUUUGUGAUGGAUGUGCCCCUUAGAUUAAUAAAUUUAUAGGGUAUUAAUAACAACAAUCAAAGCAAAUGUAGUCAUAGGUGUUUUGUUUGUUUUACUUUUUUCUCUGAUUUCCAAUUCACAUUUGAAUUGAUUGUAUGUUGGUAUCUCCCAAAUAUAGCAGAACUUAACUAUGUUAGUCAUCUUUUUACAUUUUAUAGAAAGUGUAAAUACCAGUCAAACCUGCCAUUUAGGCUCCAGUUAAGUAAUAGAAAAGUUUACAAUUCCAAAUAAUAAUAUAGGUCAAUAUUAUAACUUUUUAUGACUAUUUCUCAAGUUCUUAUUAAAGCAAAAGAAAAAUAUGUUGAAUAAUUCUUCCAAAAACAUUAUUUCCCUCAUUAUUAGUAGUCAGGUAACUUAAAGAGAAGAGAUAAAUAACUGCAAUCAAAGACAUAGUUUAAGUAAAAUAAAAUGGCACAACAAAGUGGUAAGAUAUCCAUAUCUAUCAAUUGGCUUAUACUAAAAUGUUACAUUUAAAUAUGGAAUUGGAAAGAGAUGUCUACAUCCAGAAAUCCAAGAGUCUUUCUAUUCUCAGUAGUGCAUAUGACAUAUAUUGGAUCACAUUUGGUAGUUUCUAAUGUGCAAAAUGUCCCUUGGGGGUUAUUUGUCUUGCUGGUCCAUAGAGGGGAGCACAAGUCCGAGAAUCAGGAAAUUUGGGAUCAGGAAAUCCAGGGCUCUGCCACCUAGGAGCUACCUCAUCCUGGGCAGGUACCCAAGGUCUAGUCAGUCCGAUGGUUCCAUCAAACUCAAUGAACUUUUGCAAAGGUUACUGUUGAACCUGGACUGGAAACACUGCAUAUGAGGAGAUAAACUGAUAAAUGUUGCCUUUGGUUUAAUGAUUCUUAAGAUAAUUACCAAAACAAAGCACAUAUGCCAGCAGUCCUAAAAGUGACUGCUGCCCAAGUACUUCAACAUGACAGAGGUAAUUACUCAUAAUUUGCAGUCUGUGCACUUAAAACUUCUUACAGUUUUUUGUUUUUUUUGUUUUUUACUUUUCUGGGGAAUAAAAUACAGACCUUCCUCCUAAGAAAUUAAAAUAUCUGGUAAAGCUAUGGUUUGCUUUUAUAAUGUGGAAAUCAUUUGACUUGCUGUGACUCACCCAGAUUAAUCCUCAAUGGAAAAUGACUUGCAUUAUGUCCUUUUUUCAUAGUGCUUUUAUUUCCUAUUUUGAUCUGUUGUGUAUAAAUGUGUUUUUGUUACUUUUGUUGUGCCAGUUAGAGAUAUAUUUCCCAUAAAGAAUUUCUCCCAUUAAGUCUGAUAAUGUACACUUUGCCUAGGUCUUUCCAAAAUAAAGUUUAUGUAAAUGUCUAUUUUAUACAAAAUAUGAUGAAAAUAAUUUUAUCUCAUUUCGAUGUCUCAAGCACUCUUUGGUUAGUACUCACUGAUAUCCAAGUCACCAGUAUAUGUCUGCUUUAAAAAUACAAAAAUCAUCUUUCCCUGAUUCAUUGAUUCAUUGCAUUGUCUGGCUUUGCAUUGUUCUUCUGUGUGCUUCCUGCCUGCUCUUUUCCCACUCUCCACAAUAUCAGGACUUUAGCUACUCCAGAUCUCCUCCCCCAUCUCACUUAGUAGGUGCCAUCACCUCUUUCUUCACACAGUAAAUAAAACAGGUACUGCCUGAAUUGCCUGUACUCCAUAUAAAACUUACCUGCACCAAGUUCUAUCUUCUCCUCUCUCCUGUUGGCACAUGGAAGAAGAGGGUCCUAUGAUCUGAAUUUUUGCCUCUUCUGGAGCACUUCAUUUCUUAAACUCUUCUUUAACUUCUUUUUGCUGGAUCUUGGCAAUUCUCAUCUAUCUUAAAACACCCACAGAAGUAACCACCAUCAAAAUCAUUUGAAAAAAAAAAUCCUUCAUUUAUUCCUUUUUCCUUUAUAGCUGCUGCUAUAUCUCUUUCUGUCCUUCAUAGCUAAACCUUUUGAAUGAAUUGUCUUCACUCAUUUUCUCUACCCUCAUCCGUCACAUUCUCUGUAUCACAGGGAUACCUGACCCUGCAACAAAUAUGCAAAUGAAACUGCUGUUUCUGAGGUUACCACUAAUCCCCUUAGUGCUGAAUCCUAGGCCUUGCAGUACUUUAGGGAGGGUUCUAGAGUUUAGAGCAGUGGUUUAGCUGGAGAUGGGAAAACCUUUUUUAAAAUUUUUUUACACAAGCAUCAUUUGCCCAUGAUUUGCUCAUCUUUCAUGGAUUAGACACAUAACACACAGUUUUACAACUUUCCCUAGAGUUGGGGUUCCAUCAAGACUCUUCGAAGAUGUCUAAUAGCAGAUUGUUAUUGUCCUGCCCUAAUGAAGAUUUGCGCAAUUAGAGGCAAAUCCCCCAUAUAUCACAAGUCCAAUCUGGGGUAGUCCAAGCACUGACCCUCCUCUGACAUCCUAUCCUUUUUAAAGUUAUUUUUUUUAAAAAAAAUCCAUUUGGAUGCUUCAGCAUCACCACGAACUUAACAUAUACUUAAACCAUUAUCUAAACCCAAUGACCUACUCAUGCUGUAUGUACACAAUUCUUAUCAAGUUGAUCUUUUUUCAAUUUAAUGAUUAAGCAUUAUUUCAGUAGGCAUGUAAGGGGCCAAUCCUCUGUACAGAAGGACAAGGGCUCACUUGAGGCUGCAAGGUUUGAACUCUGGAAACAGAGGGAGCUGUGCUGUAACAGGAAAUAAGACAGUGAUCAGCCCCAUGCAGAUCUGAAAUGAAGGACCCACAGAUGUUGCUGCAUGUGCAUCACAUGCAGAAGAGUGCACUGGACAGCGACUGUGAGCUUUGUCAGAAGGGUAGCCUUGGAGUGACCAGGAACUUCAAUGUUGUGGGCCCAACUGUUUUUUCACAGUGCAUGUUCAAUUAUUUUUCCUUCUCCCCUUAUAUUUAGUAAGACUUUUUGGUGGUUUUAACCUAACCUCUUGGUAGGAAGAAAGGGGAGUAUGGCCCACUUAGGGGUCAGAGCUUUCUUUGGAGGGCAGUGUACCCCUGGGGCCAGCAUGAUGGCUGAAUGAUAAUCCUUGUAAGAUCACCAAGGGGGAAGCACACUGGUGGAUUGGAGUGGUAAGGGCCAUUGGUCAGGCAGCCAAUCAUACCUGGGGACUUUCUGGACAGGUCUCAAACCUGGAGAGUCAGCACUUUUAUUUUCACAGAAAAGUUGUUUUCCUUACCGAGUCCCUCCAGUGCACCCUAGAUACCCAAGGUUGAAAU